UUUUCUAUGAAUUUUCUAAGUUCUAAACAUAUUCUGAAAUUUUUAUAUUUAGUUUAAUCCGAAUUGACCAAGUCAAUUUGACUAGUCAAAAGGGCAGGUGUGGCCCACAUGUCAUAGACUAUUUACCUAAACAAAUAAAUAAAUCUAACUUAUUUAAUGGGGUCUACAUGUCAUCUACUACUAGAUUAACUUAGCACUAAACUAGUAGUACUUCUAACUAAGCCUAGACUAAUUAAAUAAGGGCCGGCCGUGGCACAGCCGUGCACACACACGAACACACACUCACGGCCAUGGCAACCAGCAACAGCAGCGGCAUGAGCAGUACAUAUAGCAGCAACAGCAGUAGGCAUUUAGCAACAGCAAGCAGCAGCGUUACAAGGAGUAGGGAGCAGACGCAGCUGCGGCCAAGUAGCGGCAGCAGCAGAAUGAAUCAAGAGUAGCGAGCGGGAGCAGCAAAAGGAGCAGCACGAGCAGCAGUCAGCACGGGCGUGCGUGAGCGGCAACGGGCGGACGGGCAGGGGCGCGCCGGGCGCGGCUGGGCACACGAGGGCAGGCGCGGGGCGUGCGGGACUGGACACGGGCAGUCAUACGCGUGCGGGUGAGCGCGGAGCUCAGGCCAUGGCGGCCUCAACGGGAGCAAGCGGCCACGACGGUGGAACGGCGACCUACGGCGACCAAAUCGAGGGGCAAAAUAGGGGGGAAUGGGGAGAGUAGCUCACGGGGGGAGCGGAGGACGCGGCCGGCGUGGCGGAGGAGCUCCGGUGAGGUAGAUCGGGCGCGGGGCAGUGGCGGUCGUAGGCGAGGAAGAAGCGUCGAUCCCGGCGAUGUAGUGCUUCCCCGCUCGAACCGGUAACACUAGUCGAAGGAGACGUCCACGGCGCAGCUCCGGACAUCUUUUCAGGCGCCGGGGAAGUUGGUGGCCGCGACGAUGACUACGACCAUAGCCACGGCAGCUCGGUUGCGGGCUGUGGGGAAGGGGAGGAACCGAGGGGGAGAGGGGCAAGUGGGUUAGGGUUUGCCAGGGGGCGCUUGGGGUGCUUAUCUUCGCGGGGCACCGCCGGAUGGCCGGCGUGUGGCUGGAGGGGCGACCAUAGCCGCGGGAUGGCCGCCACGCCCUUCCCCUAUCCUGUAGCGUGAGGAGGGAGAGGAGUUGAGGUGGGCCGCUGGUGCUCUAUGGCCUCCAAGGCCCAGAUGCACAUUAGUUAGUUAGGCCCUUUUACUGAUUUUAUUUUUCUGUUUUUUUAUAAUUUCCUCACCAUUUUAUAUUUAAAGCAAAACGCAAUUGAAUUUUCCUGACAAUGAAAUUUGGCACAUAAUUAUUAGUCAAAAAUUUGGAGAGGCCCACAAAGUUUGAGGUCAAAAGAAAUUGUUUAAAAUAUUUGUUUAUUUUGAAAAGGUUAUUCUAUUUGCUGCUGGACCAGUUAUUAUUUUCCUAGGAAUUUAUUUGUGAGCCAAAUGAAGUUGGUUUCAACAUGAAGAUGAUCAGGGGAAUUUAUAGAAUUAUUCGAACAUUUUAGUUUCUCCGAUUGAAGAAUUAAUAAUUUCACUUGCAAUUUAAAUAUGAAUUUGACUUCGAUUUUGGACAAUGGAAAUUUGCAUAUUAAUCAUGAUGACCUGGCCACCAUUUAGGGGAAGAUUACUGUAGCAUGGUUCUUGGGGUGUUACAAAUCUCCUUCACUACAAGAAAUCUCGUCCCGAGAUUUAAGUGGGGAAGUAAAGAGUAACUCCGGGAGAACCGACCCUUAUAGGGUUAAUUAUUUGGUGAACAAUUCAGGGAAUGAGGCAGAGGUAUCUCUCGAGUUGAAACUUAAUAAAACAUCGAGAGCAAAGUAUGAAGGUACAUUAGGAAGUUUCAACUGAAUGGACAAACGAUUGAUACCUAAACAGAGUGAGAGAAAGGGGUUCAGAGCAUCGGGAAUAGAUCAUCUCUUGGAAGGUGGCUCGUGAUAACACACAAAGCCAAGAGCAUAAGACACUUCAGCAUCAAGGUUGUACAGGAGAGUCAGGCUUCGAUCCUGUGGAACUGUGGGUUAUGGGCCCACCAUGUGGGUUAAAAGUAGAAAGAGCAGUGACAUUUUACACGGUUAUGGUAGCAAGCUAUGUCGGAGGAUAGUCUGUCAGUUAUGUUGGCAACCACGUUGGUACCAAGGGCGAGGGACGAAGAGAACCAUAUUCCUGCUCGUUGAACGAGGCGGACCAAUCGGCAAGGUUCGCGUCCAUCGAUGGUUACCGGAAUGUCAUCAACAAUAGUAACAGGGUUUUACUGCCAAUUUGUACACCAAGGUGUUUACAUAAGCAGGGAGCUAUUACUGCUUAGAUCUCAUAAUUCAUAAGAAAGGUUAAACAAAAUAGUGGAAAGGAAAAGGUGAUCAUUAGAUUAACCAGAACAUUGGAAAGGGAAAUGUGUUUAAACCCAAAUAUCAGGUGUAUAUCUUUUCCCAAGGACAAGAAGAGUAUGGUAUACAUGACAGGAUAGUAAGUAUAACCAUUAGGUAAGGGGAGAGGAAAUUUAUGACGUUACCCAUACAACAAUGUUUCGAUAAUUGAUCAAGAAACAUUUAGCACUGCGCUCCCAAUGUUCUUGUUGAUGAACGGGGUACCACAGACAUGCUUCGGGAUAGCAUUGACAUGGUCAUCAGGUAAUGGUCAAACUUUGGUUACAUAAAGGAUUCACUGGAGACAACUUAUAAAAUAAGUUAUAUAAUUUCAGCAAGGAAAAGAAGAGGAUGUGGCCUAUGGGUGCAGCAGCAAUCCAUCAACAUGUCAAAAAGGAUGUAUUUCCAAAAUUAUGUGAACACGUCUGUGUUGUAAGGAAGCAAUGAUGUUGUCGAUGGUAACUCAAAUUACCAAGGGACGAGGAUGGUACUUAUCAUCAUGAAUUCGAUUGAUAUCCUGGAAUAGCUCAGAAUGUUGAUGAUGAUCGGCACAUUUGUCGAGAGAUUUCAUGAGGAUGCCAUCGAGCAGCAACGACAUCAAGCAAAAGGAAUGAUGAAGCGAAGGCUAUUGGAACCACAUAUACGACACAAGCUUGGAUUCAUGCUUGUUGUCCAAGGUGGAAUGAUAAAAUGAGGAAGAUCGACGUAAGCUUCGCUCAUCGUCGAAAGUUGCUCCGGGCAUAAGGACCAGGUAGCAUAGUUAAAAGUUGACACGAUAAAAAUAUAGCCGAUCAGGCUAGGAAUGAUGUGAUGGAGUAUCCAACUCCCCAGCAACCAAGUACUAGGAGUGUUGAAUCACUGAGCGGAACCGAUUCAUUGUUCGGUGGUCUCGGUUGAAGACAACCCAGAACCCAUGAAGUGACUAUGACAGGGUAAGGUAGUACUUCAUCAAAAGUUCAUUAGAUGUAGUGCAAUGCAUGAUAUCCUCGAGAUACUAGAGGGUAAUACUCGAAGAUAGGGCAUAAUAGAGUUUGGACAUGUGUAUUCAUCUGCAGAAGACAAGUACUUUAACUAGUCUGAGAAAUGGAAUCAAAGGGAACAAUCAUGGUCAGAACCACGGUUGCAAAGGACCAAACAUAGAUACCAGAUGAACUUAUAACAAGGGGAUUAUUAUUAUCAUAAGAAGCUUCCAUGAUAAGUUCCACAUCGGGUCCAUGGGCAUGAACACAAAGUUCAAGGUCGACUCCCACUUCUUCAAUGCAUAACCUUUCAUUCACUUCUCGCUUUUGAUGAAGCUGUAGUGUUAAAAAUUUAUCUGGUGAAGCACCAGAAGAGUAUGACUUGCAUAACUUUCGAGUUCACACGGAUUAGAAAAAGCAUAGGUUCAACCCAUCGGGACAUCUUAGGAAUCUACACCGCAGUCUUCAUGAGUAAAUAACAAAAACUCGAAUGUAAGGAGAGGAUACAAUUUGCCAAAGGCAUCAUGUAUAAGGGGAAGAACUCUCGAGGUUUUUGAAUGCGAUGGACACUGUCGGAUACAAUCCAACAAUGGAUCUGGCGGUUCACGACGGAGUUGAUGUGAGUAUCAGUAUCCAACCAGAAGAAGAAGAAAUGCAAGGGCAUCGGUUUAUGUAAACAUCUGAAUAAUUUGAUGCUUAAAUACAAAGAAAUUGGAUUUCUAGAUCGGUGUAUCAGAUCAGAUGCUCCGAUCGAAGAUGGAUAGGUUGAACAGACUUAGAGGCACACCGAUCGAAUCUUCAUUGGGCAAGAACCAGCUCAUAUCCGGAAUGAUGUCUGAGCCGGAAAGGAAAAUCCUAUGGAUCAAUUGAUGAUUGUGAGUAGUCGCACAUACAUUGAAUCCGUAGGAACAGAAUGACAAUCACAAAGGAUUUUAAUAUAUAUCGCUAGACAUAUGGAAUUAACCAUAAUACAAGCAGGCGAUAGGGAUCAAAAGUAAAAGGCCGCGGAGGAUUUUUGGGAGAUCAGAUAGCAUUUCAAAGUAUUUUGGAAAGCACAUGAACAACUGGGGAGGAACGGACCCCGGGUAAGUGAAUUAUCCAUAGUGCGAAAAGAAGCUGCAAAGCAUAAGACACAAAGGAUUCUCGGAACAAGGGAGAGUGUUAGGGGUAACUUGUAACAACAAGAGCAACUAGGGAUGAAGGUACAAACGGCAAGGAUGGUAUCCAUGGGGACUUAUCGGUGGUCAGGAACUGCAAAGCAGUGGGCACAGGGUCUCGGGAAACAUCGAGGAGUAUCCGCAGAAUCUUCUGGCGAAGCAAGCGAUCAUCGGUAAUGUCGGGGCUCUCCGGGAGGAAGUGGUUACGAGAACCUAAUGCCAGAGUUAGUAAAAUGUUUAACCCGAAUAGAAGAGAGAUCAGAAUCCCCGAGUAUAGACGAGGAGUAAAAGAUCCUAAUACCACCCAAUAGCGACGUGGGCCCGUAAGACACACAACCAAUGUUAGUAAAAGUUUUUCAGUGACUAGACUCAACUUCGGCCAAGGAGUUGGAAAGGGGGCUACCUACAGGCAGUCGGCUCUGAUACCAACUUGUGACGCCAUCGAUUCAAUCGUACACUAAUCAUACAUGCAAAUGUGUACGAUCAAGAUCAAGGACUCACGGGAAGAUAUCACAACACAACUCUAGACACAAAUUAAAAUAAUACAAGCUUUAUAUUACAAGUCAGGGGCCUCGAGGGCUCGAAUACAUAAGCUCGAAAAGACAAGAGUCAGCGGAAACAACAAUAUCUGAGUACAGACAUGAGUUAAACAAGUUUGCCUUAAGAAGGCCAGCACAAAAGCAUCUACGAUCGAAAAGGCAAGGCCUCCUGCCUGGGAGCCUCCUAACUACUCCUGGUCAUCGACGGUCUCCGCCACGUGGUAGUAGGUGCCCUCGGGGUUAACAUCAGAAGUGCUGUAGAGGUCUCACACUCGGCACUCGAUAGUAACCCAGCAGUGUCGAGCAACUAAGGGGAAAGUGAUGUGAGGUGCCGGGGCCUGGUCUUCGAUCCCGUUGAUCGGGUCUUCAAUGAUGAAGCAGGGGCAACAGGGACAAGGUGGGGGUCACUGAUGGAUCACUAACCAACCUAUACUAAGCAGUUUAGCAUAAACAGGUAAGGUACAACAGCAGAUACAAAAGCAAGCUAUGCAUCAGAAUAGGAGCAAACAAUAAUAGUAGCAAAAUCUAAUGCAAGCAUGAGAGAUGGAAUGGGCGAUAUCAGGAUGAUCAAAGGGGGGGGGGCUUGCCUGGUUGCUCCGGCAAGGACGGGUCGUCGUCGACGUAGUCGAUCACAGGGGCAGCAUCGGUCUCGGGGUCUACCGGAGAAAAGAGGGGGAAGAAACAGUAAAUAUAAAGCAAUCAUAGCAUCACAAAGCGUAACAUGGCAAUAUGAUGUGCCGGGUGAGACCUAACGCAUGGCUACACGAUAUAGGUGAAGGGGGAAUUCAACCGGGAAUGUAUUCCCGGUUCCGGACCUGUGUUAGACAGAUGACCGGAAGGAGAAUGUUCCAUGUUCAGCAUGCUAGAGGCAUGUGACAGAUGAACGGACCGCGUAUUCGUACUCAUUGGAUUUUUCUGAGCAACUUUCAUGUAGAAAACAUUUUCAUCCGAGUUACGGUUUAUUUUCUAUGAAUUUUCUAAGUUCUAAACAUAUUCUGAAAUUUUUAUAUUUAGUUUAAUCCGAAUUGACCAAGUCAAUUUGACUAGUCAAAAGGGCAGGUGUGGCCCACAUGUCAUAGACUAUUUACAAAUAAAUAAAUCUAACUUAUUUAAUGGGGUCUACAUGUCAUCUACUACUAGAUUAACUUAGUACUAAACUAGUAGUACUUCUAACUAAGCCUAGACUAAUUAAAUAAGGGCCGGCCGUGGCACCGCCGUGCACACACACGAACACACACUCACGGCCAUGGCAACCAGCAACAGCAGCGGCAUGAGCAGUACAUAUAGCAGCAAUAGCAGUAGGCAUUUAGCAACAGCAAGUAGCAGCGUUACAAGGAGUAGGGAGCAGACGCAGCUGCGGCCAAGUAGCGGCAGCAGCAGAAUGCAUCAAGAGCAGCGAGCGGGAGCAGCAAAAGGAGCAGCAACAGAGCAGCACGAGCAGCAGUCAGCACGGGCGCGCGUGAGCGGCAACGGGCGGACGGGCAGGGGCGCGCCGGGCGCGGCUGGGCACCGAGGGCGGGCGCGGGGCGCGCGGGACUGGACACGGGCAGUCAUACGCGUGCGGGUGAGCGCGGAGCUCAGGCCAUGGCGGCCUCAACAGGAGCAAGCGGCCACGGCGGUGGAACGGCGACCUACGGCGACCAAAUCGAGGGGCAAAAUAGGGGGGAAUGGGGAGAGGAGCUCACGGGGGGAGCGGAGGACGCGGCUGGCGUGGCGGAGGAGCUCCGGUGAGGUAGAUCGGGCGCGGGGCAGUGGCGGUCGUAGGCGAGGAAGACGCGUCGAUCCCGGCGAUGUAGUGCUUCCCCGCUCGAACCGGUAACACUAGUCGAAGGAGACGUCCACGGCGCAGCUCCGGACAUCUUUUCAGGCGCCGGGGAAGUCGGUGGCCGCGACGACGAC
rnacentral:lncRNA from 1 species